GUGCCAGCAGCCGCGGUAAUACUUGAGGAUCCAAGCGUUAUCCGGAAUCAUUGGGUUUAAAGGGUCCGUAGGCGGGAUAAUAAGUCAGUGGUGAAAGUCUGCAGCUUAACUGUAGAAUUGCCAUUGAUACUGUUGUUCUUGAAUUAUUAUGAAGUGGUUGGAAUGAGUAGUGUAGCGGUGAAAUGCAUAGAUAUUACUCAGAACACCUAUUGCGAAGGCAGAUCACUAAUAAUAUAUUGACGCUGAUGGACGAAAGCGUAGGUAGCGAACAGGAUUAGAUACCCUGGUAGUCCACGCCGUAAACGAUGGAUACUAGCUGUUUGGAUUUCGGUCUGAGCGGCUAAGCGAAAGUGAUAAGUAUCCCACCUGGGGAGUACGUUCGCAAGAAUGAAACUCAAAGGAAUUGACGGGGGCCCGCACAAGCGGU
rnacentral:rRNA from 1 species